AACAUGAUGGGGGCAUCCCCGACAUGUCAAAGAUUUAUCGCUGAAAGAUGGCCUCGCGUCUGAUUAGCUAGUUGGUGGGGUAACGGCCCACCAAGGCGACGAUCAGUAGCCGGACUGAGAGGUUGACCGGCCACAUUGGGACUGAGAUACGGCCCAGACUCCUACGGGAGGCAGCAGUGAGGAAUAUUGGUCAAUGGGCGAGAGCCUGAACCAGCCAAGUAGCGUGCAGGAUGACGGCCCUACGGGUUGUAAACUGCUUUUAUGCGGGAAUAAAGAUAUCUACGUGUAGAUAGUUGCAUGUACCGCAUGAAUAAGGACCGGCUAAUUCCGUG
rnacentral:rRNA from 1 species